rnacentral:misc_RNA from 1 species
UUUUAUGUCACUAAGAAUUAAUUGAAAUUGGGUUAUUGGUGAAUUCUUUAUAAAUAUUAGCUACUGUUAAUGCUGUAAUUGAUCAAAUUAUCGUUUUAUUACGAGUGUGUUUCAUAACAUCUUCAAAGACAUUUGUGUACAGCGAAGGGGUGUAUUGUUUCAUCUUCAUAUAGGUAUAUUUAGUUCAACGACCUUGUUACUGACAGGUUCAUCGUUAGCCACUGAACUAUUCUAUGAAAGUGGUAUAUCGUAGACGAUAGAUAAAUUAAAUCCAAUGAUGGAGCCCUCGAGAGAUUCAGGGCUAAACUUGGAGGGAGGUUUUAUGUCGCCGAUGUCACCACCGGAGAUGAAGCCAGACACGGCGAUGCUAGACGGCCUGCGAGACGAUUCCACCCCACCCCCAGCUUUCAAGAACUACCCCCCGAACCAUCCCCUAAGUGGUUCUAAGCACCUCUGUUCUAUAUGUGGAGACAGAGCGUCGGGAAAACACUAUGGAGUAUACAGUUGUGAAGGUUGCAAAGGUUUUUUCAAACGGACGGUAAGAAAAGACUUAACAUACGCGUGCCGUGAAGAAAGGAACUGCAUCAUAGACAAACGUCAGAGGAACAGAUGCCAGUACUGCAGGUAUCAGAAAUGUCUUGCGUGCGGGAUGAAGAGGGAGGCGGUUCAAGAGGAGAGGCAGAGAGGCGCCAGAGGUACGGAGGAUGCACAUCCGAGCAGCUCAGUGCAGGUACAGGAGUUAUCAAUCGAGCGGUUGCUGGAGAUGGAGUCACUGGUAGCUGACCCCAGCGAAGAGUUCCAGUUCCUCCGUGUGGGUCCUGACAGCAAUGUUCCGCCUAAGUUCCGCGCCCCUGUCUCCAGCCUUUGUCAAAUAGGCAACAAACAAAUAGCAGCGCUAGUGGUGUGGGCGCGCGACAUCCCGCACUUCAGUCAGCUGGAGCUGGAAGACCAGAUCCUGCUCAUCAAGGGCUCCUGGAACGAACUGCUGCUCUUCGCCAUCGCGUGGCGGUCUAUGGAGUACCUGACUGAAGAGCGAGACGGCGUGGACGGCACUGGCAACAGAACUACAUCGCCGCCACAACUCAUGUGCCUCAUGCCUGGUAUGACGCUGCACCGCAACUCAGCGCUGCAGGCGGGCGUGGGGCAGAUCUUCGACCGCGUGCUGUCGGAGCUGUCGCUGAAGAUGCGCAGUCUGCGCGUCGACCAGGCCGAGUACGUCGCGCUCAAGGCCAUCAUACUGCUCAACCCGGAUGUGAAGGGACUGAAAAACAGGCAAGAAGUGGAAGUUUUACGAGAAAAGAUGUUCCUGUGCCUGGACGAGUACUGCCGGCGGUCGCGCGGCUCGGAGGAGGGACGCUUCGCGGCGCUGCUGCUGCGUCUACCAGCACUGCGGUCCAUCUCACUCAAGAGCUUCGAGCAUCUGUUCUUCUUCCACCUCGUCGCCGACACCAGCAUCGCCGGAUACAUCCGUGACGCCCUCCGCAACCAUGCGCCGCCUAUAGACACCAACAUGAUGUAAUAUACCGUCUUGUAGGGCACUGAAUCUUGUGCAGUUGACAGCUGUCAGUUUUCAACGACAAUUGACGUUUGUACAGACUGACAGCGACUGUCAACUGCACCAAAAAUUGAUCAGACUGGCAUCUGAACGAACGAGAACGUUCGAGAAUACGCGAAGAUAUCGCGACCGAAUGCAGCUACGUAACGAACUAUUGUCUUAUGUUGUAGUUUGUAGAAAAACUCGUGGCAGUUAUUAGGGGGAUUUUAAGGAGAUGCAAAUGCAAUUCGAUGUGUUAAAAUAAAUAUCACAUCAUUAGUAAUGAACUGGCAAUAAUAAUUGCAAACGACAGGCUUAAAAAAAAUCCAUCUCACUGCGACGAGUUUUUUUAACAAACUUUAUCGUCUGUAUUCCAUAAACCGCUAUCAUUAAUCGGAGCUACCAUUUGCCGGUCAGAGGUUCGAGGUUAAAGUCCUGGCUAGGGCCACUAAUUAGGGUUUGUUAUACGGAAAGUUAGCUUUAGCAGACGUCGGGGGCGUGGCCGAGUGGUUACGAACAUUUUCGAGGUUUUAGAUUAUAAUCUCGAUACCUCAUAUUAUGUACGUGCGUGUAACCGCUGCCGUAGGAAUUUUGGUACGUUUCGACGGAUAAACCUUAUGAUUUCGUUAAAUUUAGAAAUCAGGGCUUUAUUUUUCGAGACAGCAGACUCGAUGUUAUGUUAGCACUAAAGAUCAAAUAGUUAACGUUGGUUUACGACCUUCAGCUAAUAAGUACCUGGGUUAUGUAUAGCCCUUAUUGUAAAGGCCCUUUAUGUUAUGUUCAAGUUUUGAGUACGAGCACAAGACCGUUGUAUGAAGUGCGGGCACGCGAAGUGUAUCGGAGUGGACACAGUAUCGCGAACCACACGACGUUAGGUAGUGUAAAUGGGGCCGCCUCUUUUAUUACGUAGAAUAUGAUUAACGUAAAUUAGUCAUUCAUUUAUUAGGGAAUUUUAAUCGUACAGGUAGGUGUCCAUAGUGAAUUAAUAUAAUGUUAGACUAAUUAAUGUGUAAUUUUAACAUUUACCAAAUCUCUCUUCAAAGCACGUACAUUAAUUAUUACGUAUAUUUAAUGGAUUGACUAUGUGUCCACUGAGCCAGUGAUAAAAAUCAUGUUGAUUCGUAAAAACGAAAAUAAAAGUAAAUAUACAAAAUUAUGCUUCAUAUAUUUCCCGUAUUAUACACAUGUUGGUGCUUUAACAUGCAUUAUUUACAUAUUAUGCAUAUCAAAUAUGCAUAGUAAUCCUUAAAUUUAAUGUUACUUGAUAAAUCCUUAUUUUCAUUACAAUUAGUAUAGAAAGUUAUAAAAACUGUAAAUAUAUCUUUGCAUGUACAAUGUAUUUUUAUUAUGUUUAGACAAGUAACUUAUAUUGCAUAUUAAUAUAUACCUCACCAGUGUCGGGUGGUGGGAAUAUACGGAUAGAAUGGCCUACACGCUACAUUAUAAAUAAUAACUUGUAUUUCUAUUGGCAGGCCACUUUAUUUUUGUACCUUGUGAGUGCCACGCAUUUUCCAAUUCGCUAACAAAAUUAACCAGUAUUAUAACAUUCACGAAAUCUUGACGAGGGAGACCUAUAUUUUAGACCCAUAUUCAAGGCACAGAUCUAAAACAUGUCGUUAAUCUGUGCCUGAAUAUGGUGCUAGAAUUCGGGCCAAUAAUAAACAUUCAGGUUGUAGAUAUAGAACGCGGAAUCUGAUCGACACAUUUCGAAGGGGGUAAUUAGACGAAAAAAAUAUUUUAAAAUUAAUGUUUCAUAAGUGUUGAGAAUAUUAUAGAAAACUUAUAUUGUGAUUAUAAUCGCUGGACGUAGUAGACAGCUCAAUUUACUAGAAAGUUCUUCAUCCGGUCUAUUUGAUCCAUUACGUAGAAGCCGUGAUUAGCAUGACGACUUUCAUGUCCACUAUAGUUUGUUGACGUUGAACAACCAGUAUUUCUGUUAUAUUGAAGAAUUAAUGUUGAGCAAUGAUAUUAUUAUAUGGAUGGGUUUGAAAUUUGAAUUAUAUGAUGGGAAAUGUUGCAGCGGUUGUGAGAUGAUUUAUAAUGAUGUUCACUAAUUAUCUGACUAAAUUUAAGUUAUAUUUUUUGUAUAGACAUACAUAGCUUUAAGAUUCAUAAAUGGUGAUUAAAAUUAUUAUCACAAUAAA